UAAGCUUUCUUGAUAUCG
rnacentral:misc_RNA from 1 species